CAUAUACAUGUUUUACAUUAAGUUUAUUAAACUAAUUAUCAAAAGAAUGUGGUACAACAUGUGUUUAGUUUUUUUAUUGAUAUUUCAGAGUUUUUAUAUGUGAGGUAAUCUUGCUUAUGCUGGGAGUGAAGGCAGUGCUUGAUAUGAGAGACACAUACUGUAUUUAAAGGUCAACUUUAUACUGUAAGCUUCAUUCCCUUUAAAGCAGAGUUUUCAUAUGUGAGUGAAUCUUGCUUAUGCUGGAAGUGAAGGCAGUGCGUAUGACCGCUUGAUACAAGAGACACAUUCUAUUUUUAAAGGUCAACAUACUGUAAGCUUCAUUCACUUUAAAGCAGAGGUUUCAUAUGUGAGGUAAUCUUGCUUAUGCUGGGAGUGAAGAGUGUGUAUGACCACUUGAUAUGAAAGACACAUCCUGUUUUUAAAGGGGAUGUAUGCAUGUUACUUUCAAUGCUGGCAUUAAAAUAAAUAGUUAUUUACUGUUUAAACAUUUUGGAGAUUGUGUGUGUGAUCUUGUGGCACAUUUACUUGUGAUAACAGAAUUAUUUUUGUCUAUCUGUUGUAGGUGGAUCAUGAGUGAAGCUCUGCAGGUCUGCCAUUGGCUUGAUAACAGUGGUUAUGUGAAUUGAGUGAAUUCAAUUUAUAAAUAAAUCUUUCACCAAGCAUUCACCUAUUUACGGACAAAACAGAUCCAAAUCUUGUUCAGCCUGAUGCUCAACCUUGUAUGAUGAUGACCACAGCCAGGUGAUGGAGAUCUGUUUUAAUCACAGCCUGCAUCUCAAGAUCAACAUGACAACAGCAGAUCAUUUCUUAUCUUACUCUUAUGAUCCCGUAAAGAAAAUAAUAUGGACUUUUUUGGUGAGAUUCUACAAAGAUUGACACAAUCCUAUUGACUUUUAUUUUUACAGUUAAUAAUGCAUUAUAAACAUCCCAUUCAUUUUUAUUCUAUGUCAUCGAUCUGUUUGUGCUAAAAUGUAUACAUCUGAAUGUAAUGUCAAUAAUAUGUUAAUAUUCAGGAUUUAUUAUCAUUUGCAUGUUUUGAUGUUGCAUGUCAUGAUUUUAUUGAUUUUAUGUAAUUGUUGUCUAUUUAAAAUGAUUUUAAUUGCCAAAUUUUAUGGUUAAUUUAUUUAAUAUUGAAGCUGUUAUUUAACACCCAUAUCUUAUUUGAGUAGUAAUUUGUUAUAUUUGCAUAAUGAUAAUUUAUAUAUUUAUUCUGAUUGUGAUUUUAAUGCACAUAUUUAUUAUUGUAUGACACCUCAUGUAAUGAAAA